GACGAACGCUGGCGGCGUGCUUAACACAUGCAAGUCGAGCGGAAAGGCCCUUUCGGGGGUACUCGAGCGGCGAACGGGUGAGUAACACGUGAGUAAUCUGCCCCUGGCUUUGGGAUAGCCACCGGAAACGGUGAUUAAUACCGGAUACGACCACUUCUCGCAUGGGAUGGUGGUGGAAAGUUUUUCGGCCAGGGAUGUGCUCGCGGCCUAUCAGCUUGAUGGUGAGGUAAUGGCUCACCAUGGCUUCGACGGGUAGCCGGCCUGAGAGGGUGACCGGUCACACUGGGACUGAGACACGGCCCAGACUCCUACGGGAGGCAGCAGUGGGGAAUAUUGGACAAUGGGCGGAAGCCUGAUCCAGCAACGCCGCGUGAGGGAUGACGGCCUUCGGGUUGUAAACCUCUUUCAGCAGGGACGAAGCGCAAGUGACGGUACCUGCAGAAGAAGCACCGGCCAACUACGUGCCAGCCGCCGCCGUAA
rnacentral:rRNA from 1 species